AAGCUCGUAGUUGAAUUUCGAAUGUGGCUGGGCGGUCCGCCUCACGGUGUGUACUGUCUGGCUGUGUUCUCUUUCUUGGUGAGCCGGCAUGCCCUUUACUGGGUGUGUUGGGGAACCAGGACGUUUACCUUGAGAAAAUUAGAGUGUUCAAAGCAGGCCUACGCCCGAAUACAUUAGCAUGGCAUAAUAAAACUAGGACGUGCGGUUCUAUUUUGUUGGUUUCUAGAGCCGCAGUAAUGAUUAAUAGGGAUAGUUGGG
rnacentral:rRNA from 1 species